GACAGAGGGUGCAAACGUUGUUCGGAAUUACUGGGCGUAAAGCGCGUGUAGGCGGCCCUGCAAGUCGGGUGUGAAAUCCCACGGCUCAACCGUGGAAGUGCACUCGAAACUGCAGGGCUAGAGUCCUGGAGAGGAAGGUGGAAUGCUUGGUGUAGAGGUGAAAUUCGUAGAUAUCAAGAGGAACACCGGUGGUGUAGACGGCUCUCUGGACCGUAACUGACGCUGAGACACGAAAGCGUGGGUAGCAAACAGG
rnacentral:rRNA from 1 species